rnacentral:rRNA from 1 species
UAAUACAGAGGCCUCGAGCGUUAGGCGGAAUCACUGGGCUUAAAGCGUGUGUAGGCGGACUUCUAAGUACCUUGUGAAAUCCCACGGCUCAACCGUGGAACUGCUCGGUAUACUGGUCGUCUUGAGCCAUCUAGGGGCGAGCGGAACAAGUGGUGGAGCGGUGAAAUGCGUAGAUAUCACUUGGAACGCCAACGGUGAAAACAGCUCGCUGGGGAUGUGCUGACGCUGAGACACGAAAGCCAGGGGAGCAAACGGGAUUAGAUACCCCGGUAGUCCUGGCCCUAAACGAUGUCUACUAGAUCCUGGUACCUCUGACGGUUUCAGGGUCGAAGCAAAAGUGCUAAGUAGACCGCCUGGGAAGUACGGUCGCAAGGCUA